rnacentral:rRNA from 1 species
AUUGAACGCUGGCGGCGGGCUUAACACAUGCAAGUCGAGCGGAGAUGAGGUGCUUGCACCUUAUCUUAGCGGCGGACGGGUGAGUAAUGCUUUGGAGUCUGCCUAUUAGUGGGGGACAACAUUCCGAAAGGAAUGCUAAUACCGCAUACGUCCUACGGGAGAAAGCAGGGGAUCUUCGUACCUUGCGCUAAUAGAUGAGCGUAAGUCGGAUUAGCUAGUUGGUGGGGUAGAGGCCUAUCAAGGCGACGAUCUGUAGCGGGUCUGAGAGGAUGAUCCGCCACACUGGGACUGAGACACGGCCCAGACUCCUACGGGAGGCAGCAGUGGGGAAUAUUGGACAAUGGGGGGAACCCUGAUCCAGCCAUGCCGCGUGUGUGAAGAAGGCCUUAUGGUUGUAAAGCACUUUAAGCGAGGAGGAGGCUACUGAGACUAAUACUCUUGGAUAGUGGACGUUACUCGCAGAAUAAGCACCGGCUAACUCUGUGCCAGCCGCCGCCGUAACAC